UACGUAGGUGGCGAGCGUUGUCCGGAUUUACUGGGCGUAAAGAGCGCGCAGGCGGUCGGAUCAGUCGAAUGUGAAAGCCCCCGGCUUAACUGGGGAGGGUCAUUCGAUACUGUUCGACUCGAAGGCAGGAGAGGGAAGUGGAAUUCCCGGUGUAGUGGUGAAAUGCGUAGAUAUCGGGAGGAACACCAGUGGCGAAGGCGACUACCUGGCCUGUUCUUGACGCUGAGGCGCGAAAGCUAGGGGAGCAAACGGG
rnacentral:rRNA from 1 species